CUGGAAUGAUAAGCAAGUUGAAACGAGUAUGAGGCUUGAAUGUCAUGGAUGUAUUUUUUUAAUGAUUAUAUGUUUGAUGCUUUGUUUGCACUCAGCCUUCAAGCUCUAACCUAACUAGUGGCCAUGAGUGGCACGGAGCUAUCUGUACGGCCAUCCCUGCAUUAGAAUACACGAGAAGAAAUGCUAACAGAAUACAACAGAUGACAACAAAUAAAAUGUAUUUUAUUUUUUAUUUUUACUCUAUAAAUUUGGCUAUAAAAGCCGAUGAUUGUACUCCAAAAGGACUUACGCAUACUGUAUCUGUACACACGCACAGAGAAUAGAGAAAAAGCAAUUUAAGAUUAGCAAAGGUGAUUUCAAGCCUUCUUUUGUCCUCUCUUAUGAUUUCUUUUUUUAGUUUAUUUUUUUUCAUUUGGUUCGGAUUUUUUUUAGUAUGUGAGUCAAUCCCAAUGAAAGCCCGAAUACUUCAGAAAUACUGAGGUAAAGGCGAGGGAACAAAUAGUGUUGAAUCUUUGCUUUAUGAACCUAUCUUCGUUUUUUUUUAAAAAUAAUGUGAGAUUUGAAGUUUUUUUUUUAAAUAAAAAAGGGAGGAAGAAAAUACUUACCAAAUUUCUCUAGGCAAAUGGUCGAGCGCCUUCAAUGAAGAGGAUGGGUACUAUCUGCAUGCUGUUGAUCACCAAAACAAUGGUGGUUUGGCUGCUAGCAAAAGAAACCCUAGAAAUUUACUUUCAAGGCUAUGAUUUUCGGCUAAAAAAUGGGCCUGCGUUUGAGAUGGGAAAUGGGGAAGGAAAGGUUUUAAAUAGCCUUUUAACAAAGCAGUGAUGUUUGCAUAAAUAAAGGCCCACGUGUCAACUCAUUUGACAGGCCCAGUCUGCGCAUUAUCACUCAAAAAUGGGGAAUUUUCGUGGCGGGUCCUUUCCCUUGCGCACAAUAUUCAAUUGACGCCCAAUUUGCUUACCUUAUGUUUUAAAAUUUGGCCUUCUAAUUUGUGUGUUGUUUCAUUUUGAUCUGCGGUUCAUUGCAGUAUUGUGUGGGCGCGAGAUAUUUACAAUUCCAGUCCCCGC
rnacentral:lncRNA from 1 species